rnacentral:rRNA from 1 species
AUACGUAGGUGGCAAGCGUUGUCCGGAAUUAUUGGGCGUAAAGCGCGCGCAGGUGGUUCCUUAAGUCUGAUGUGAAAGCCCCCGGCUCAACCGGGGAGGGUCAUUGGAAACUGGGGAACUUGAGUGCAGAAGAGGAUAGUGGAAUUCCAAGUGUAGCGGUGAAAUGCGUAGAGAUUUGGAGGAACACCAGUGGCGAAGGCGACUUGCUGGUCUGUAACUGACACUGAGGCGCGAAAGCGUGGGGAGCAAACAGGAUUAGAUCCCCUGGUAGUCCACGCCGUAAACGAUGAGUGCUAAGUGUUGGGGGGUUUCCGCCCCUCAGUGCUGCAGCUAACGCAUUAAGCACUCCGCCUGGGGAGUACGGUCGCAAGACUGAAACUCAAAGGAAUUGACGGGG